AACGUAGGAGGCGAGCGUUAUCCGGAGUUACUGGGCGUAAAGGGCUCGUAGGUGGCCAACUAAGUCAGACGUGAAAUCCCUCGGCUUAACCGGGGAACUGCGUCUGAUACUGGAUGGCUUGAGAUUGGGAGAGGGAUGCGGAAUUCCAGGUGUAGCGGUGAAAUGCGUAGAUAUCUGGAGGAACACCGGUGGCGAAGGCGGCAUCCUGGACCAACACUGACACUGAGGAGCGAAAGCGUGGGGAGCGAACAGG
rnacentral:rRNA from 1 species